UACGUAGGGUCCGAGCGUUGUCCGGAUUUAUUGGGCGUAAAGAGCUCGUAGGCGGCUCAGUAAGUCAGAUGUGAAAACUCAGGGCUCAACCCGGAGACGCCAUCUGAUACUGCUGUGGCUUGAGUCUGGUAGGGGAUCACGGAAUUCCUGGUGUAGCGGUGAAAUGCGCAGAUAUCAGGAGGAACACCGAUGGCGAAGGCAGUGAUCUGGGCCAGUACUGACGCUGAGGAGCGAAGGCGUGGGUAGCAAACAGG
rnacentral:rRNA from 1 species